CAUAAGAUUGUAGUAUCGCAUGAUAUAGCAAUUAAAGGAGCAAUUCGCUAUAAGAUGGACCCGCGUCGCAUUAGCUAGUUGGUGAGGUAAUGGCUCACCAAGGCGACGAUGCGUAGCCGACCUGAGAGGGUGAUCGGCCACAUUGGGACUGAGACACGGUCCAGACUCCUACGGGAGGCAGCAUG
rnacentral:rRNA from 1 species